rnacentral:rRNA from 1 species
CCUACGGGGUGCAGCAGUGGGGAAUAUUGGGCAAUGGGCGCAAGCCUGACCCAGCAACGCCGCGUGAAGGAAGAAGGCUUUCGGGUUGUAAACUUCUUUUCUCAGGGACGAAGAAAGUGACGGUACCUGAUGAAUAAGCCACGGCUAACUACGUGCCAGCAGCCGCGGUAAUACGUAGGUGGCAAGCGUUAUCCGGAUUUAUUGGGUGUAAAGGGCGUGUAGGCGGUAGCGCAAGGCAGAUGUGAAAACUUAGGGCUCAACCCUGAGCCUGCAUUUGAAACUGGUUUUCUUGAGUGCUGGAGAGGUAAUCGGAAUUCCGUGUGUAGCGGUGAAAUGCGUAGAUAUAAGGAGGAACACCAGUGGCGAAGGCGGAUUGCUGGACAGUAACUGACGCUGAGGCGCGAAAGCGUGGGGAGCAAACAGGAUUAGAUACCCUUGUAGUC